AGAUUUCUGCAUUCAUGCCAAGAUUUCAUUAGACACCAAACCAUCAGAACUGAUGAGACUUCAAAGGUAAGUGAAAGU
rfam:Schistosoma mattheei strain Denwood, Zambia genome assembly, scaffold: SMTD_scaffold0012951